GAAAACAUUAAAAAUUAUAGGAUGAAUAACCUAUCAGCAUAUCCUUGAGGGCUGCAUGUGAAGAAAAAAGCUGCAAAGAAUAUGGAAACUGAACCCAAGCAUAUGCCAUGACUUACAGGGGACUCAUUCAUUCCCAUUAUGAAGAGGACACAAGAUUCACUGCAUGGUCCACAUGAAAGCCACAUAUUGUCCUUCUUGUGAUGGAGGAGAAUCCUGUCAUUACAUCUGAUCUCUGACUGAGAAAGCAAGUGGUAUCCAAGCAGGGCCAGUCCAACAAUGAGACAAAAAUUGAGAAUGGGAAGAAUGGAACAGCUAUACAAGGCCCUUUCAACUGGCAACAUGAGGAAUUAUCUGUUAGGAUGCACCUCAUUUCAGUGGAGGAUGGUUCAUAUGUUGGAUGCAAGGUACUUCAGGGGAUUGCAAGAUGAAACAAUCAGACUUUCCUCACCUUCUUUGUCACUUCUUCCAAAGGGGAACUGUGUUGCCCUUCUGGACAAGCAUGAUGGAAAGAAACAGAACAAAACGGAAUCUCAUCUAUUUCAGGAGGCAUUCAUGCUCCUCGACCCAACAUUUUCCCCAGAGGACUGUGGCCUGUAAUCCCUUUAAACUAUUCCAGCAAGCACAAACAAUAUUGCUCUACUAAAGUCUAUCCCUUGCCCCACUCUACCAAUAAUUAUAAUCAUAAUCAUACUUUAUUUUUGUAUCUCGCCUCCAUCUUCCUGAAGGGACUCAGGGUGCCUUACAUGGGGACAAGCCCAAUCAGACAUAGAUUAAAAAUACAAUGUAAUAAAAUUUAUAAACAACAUCAUAACAACAUAGAAGCAACAUCAUAAAACAACUAAUAGCCUGAAGGGUAAUAAAUGCCGAACUCGGAGGGUAGAAGCUUGUGCAAAAGAAUUUCAAGACAGGGCUGGUGGAAAAAGUGCAGAAGCCAAUAAUAAAUUAGGGCUUGAAGGGCAAUGUCAUUUAGAAAUGCUAGAUCUCUAGGGCAGGGGACAGUGAUAAAG
rnacentral:lncRNA from 11 species